rnacentral:lncRNA from 1 species
GGACAGUUCGCUGCAUUUCUUGGUGACCUCUAAAGGUCUAGUAAAGCUAUGGUAGAGACAAGAGGAGGAGGUAGAAGGGAAGAUUUUCUCUAGUUCUUACAACAAGACCUGGUUUUAAAUUUGUUUUAACUUAAAACAUCUUCAUGCAGAAUAAAAAAUUCCAAAAUCUCAGCUGGAUCAAUUUCUACAUCCUGUGCACUGGGCAGCCACACAGAAACUCGUGCCAGCAUAACACAAGAAGCACCAGGCAGGAGAAUGGAGAAGGGAAGGAGUAAGGAUUUCUUUUUUGUACGGCUGUGCCAACUUUGCAUGUGUGUUAAAUCAGUUUAAGAAAACUACUCAAAAAGUUGCAGUUUGAAUUCAGGAGUCCCAGUCCUGGCUAAAACUGUGUACUGGCCUGUUCAUCAUCAACUUGCACACCACUUAUUAAUAUUCUGUUUUUCCAAGGCAGACAUUGGAAGUUCUCCCUGAAAUCAGGUAUUUCUAUGGCAGAGCCCAAGCCCAGCCUCUGCCAGCAGAUGUGUCUGCACUAAUUUUCUGUUCAUUUUGUGAAAGUUAAUAUAUCCAGUCCUCACGUUACUGGAGAGGAAACCAGAAUCACAGUCAAUUCACCGGCAGCAUGUACCACACAUCGCACUGGAUUGUGAACUCUGAAACGAAGAGAUCAGAUUACCAUAAAACGUUCCACUGCUGAGCAUUUUUGCAGAAAAGUUCAGCUAAAUUUGUCUUUGUACAAAUUAAGCUGCUUCUCAUAUUUCUUGACUAUGAGACUAUUCUCCAAAACAAAAGAAAUGCUGAUGUUUAAGGAAUAAGAAACCACAGUCAAUGUUAUAAGAAAAAAUAGAAAGAGAAGCAGCUUAGCAUUUGGAUUUCAAAGCCAAAUUUGAUGCCUAGGAAUGUUUCUCUGGCCAAGUAACUAAUGAGAGACCCUGAAAAUAAACUAAUGGUACCAUUUUGCAUUUUGUAAUUACAUGAGUGCAAACUUGUACCUGGUCCUGCUGAUGCUGAGGGGGGCAGCAAUGAGCUGGAA